UUCCCAAAAGGCAUAUGCUUU
rnacentral:siRNA from 1 species